GCAUAAACUCUGGUGCAGCAAGGAUGUGUUAGAUGGCUUCCUUACAAAACUACAUACUCAGUUGCACAGGUGUUACUGAACCCAGAAGAUGAACAGGUCCCCAGGCACCAGCGCUGCUGUCCUUAUAAGUGUUUUCUCCUGGUGUAUUUUUGAGAGAGGAAUUGCAGGGGUAGCACAACCACUUGCUUCAAACAAAAUGUUCUCCCUGGUGUCCUGGAUAUUUUCUGACAGUACAUUGAGCUGUCAAUCAGCAAAUGACCUGAAGAGAAAAGAGGAGACAAAGAAGCUGAAGAAAAUUCUGGUACUUGAGUGAAAAUAGCUACGUUUAUCCAACGGAAUCCUAAUAAUACUUCACAUCCUAAUAAAGAUAACUGUGAAAUAUAUUUAAUGGUAAACUGAAUUAGCAAUAUAUACUUCUUUUGGGUCUGGUAAAACUGAUGCGUAUUCCCAUGAAACAGAAUCUCCCUUUCAAGGUGCCAGUACAGGUGCACCCAUACACCCUAUCUGUCAUACAGCUGUAGUGUCUCCCUAGCCUUUAUGGCUGCUGCGGUACUGCCUGAGGAGCAGCCAGUGUGCGUAUGCUGUGAACGUCUGCAAACAGGUCUGGGCAGUGAACCCAGCAUUGCCUUUACCUGAAGAUGUUGCGGAUCGGAGAGGCACCAAAAGGGAUGCGCAGAAGGGUAACAGCAAUGAGAAUAUUUGUUUGUGUUGACUAGCUGGUGGGUACUGAGGACUGCUGUUGACAAAAUUAGCUGACAGCUGCAAUGUGCUGGUGGAUAUUGGAGCUUUGGCAAAAAGGAAGAAGGAUACAAGGAAAUUAUGAGAGUCAGCAUGGAUGUGCAUCUUUCUGACAGAGAAGAGAUUUUUAGAGGUAUUGUACCUGGACUACAUUUCCAAGCACCAGCCUGAAGAUUCUCUUCAUCUCUGAGCUGUCCAAGGACUUCUCCAGCACUGAUUUUGGCCAGUGAUUAAGGCAAGUGUGGGGUAUCAAAAAGUCACUGAAUAAGUUGUUGGUUGUUGGUCUUUGCUCAAGUAGCAGUCAAGGUGUCCUACUGCUAAUAUGAAGAGUCAUCCUACAUCUUUCAUGUGCUAUUGGGAACUACAAUGAAACAACUGUAUUUCUACGAAGCUGAUCACAGACCAUUGCAGAUCACGUCUUGUGAUGGACAUGGCAUUUCCUGAGCAUCCACAGGAUCCAAAGAACCUCUACAUCUCACACACAAGUCCUGUAUUGAAAGAACUUACCUUCUGUGAUUUAAAUCAGGAGGAUGCCCUAUUGGAAGGCUCUCUAGAAAAAACUUUCAAGUCAUAUUGAAGAUCUGAUCAGUAAAAAGAAAUGUAGCUUCAGUCUCCAGGUCUGUCAGUAAGGUACACCAGUGAGAAUUCAUUUUUCUCUUCUCAAAGUGUCAUAUAAAAUGUUUCUCACCCAUAUGAAAUACAUAAUGCAUAACUCACUAUUGUUUGUAGGUAUGUCAGUAAUGCUUUAUAUUUCCAAAACUGAAAUAAAUCUUGUUUUUCUGAAAAUGUAUACUGUUGUCAGUAAUUAUAUAUUAGUAUGGCAGGAUGCCUCUGAAGGCUUUGGGCUGUGGAAAAUCUGAUUUCUGUGUUAAAAUUGAAGCAAGUGACGUGAAAGUGCACAUGUUAUUACACCAGCAUGGAAAUAGGGAAGGAAAAUAUUAGCUCAUAUUUUGAGUUUUGUAGAGCAGUCUGCCAGUGGUUUCCUUCUCUUUUCUUCCAUUCCUGACUUAUCUGUAGGUACAAAGUUAAUUACUGUCUUUAUAUGGACAAACCUCAGAUCAAUUUCUGUUCCAUACCCAUCUGCUUGUGUCCAAAUGAGAUCUCAGCCUGUCUAUCUGGCAUUUCCUCUCGAUGUGUCAUCCCCAGCUCCAGUUCAAGAAAGCUAGAACUCAGCUGUUCAUCCUUCGUCACAACUCAGCUG